rnacentral:rRNA from 1 species
AGCGAACGCUGGCGGCAGGCCUAACACAUGCAAGUCGAACGGACCCUUCGGGGUUAGUGGCGGACGGGUGAGUAACACGUGGGAACGUGCCUUUAGGUUCGGAAUAGCUCCUGGAAACGGGUGGUAAUGCCGAAUGUGCCCUUCGGGGGAAAGAUUUAUCGCCUUUGGAGCGGCCCGCGUCUGAUUAGCUAGUUGGUGAGGUAAUGGCUCACCAAGGCGACGAUCAGUAGCUGGUCUGAGAGGAUGACCAGCCACAUUGGGACUGAGACACGGCGCAAACUCCUACGGGAGGCAGCAGUGGGGAAUCUUGCGCAAUGGGCGAAAGCCUGACGCAGCCAUGUCGCGUGGAUGAUGAAGGUCUUAGGAUUGUAAAAUCCUUUCACCGGUGAAGAUAAUGACUGUAGCCGGAGAAGAAGCCCCGGCUAACUUCGUGCCAGCCGCCGCCGUAAUAC